CUACUAGUGAAGAUCGGCAUCCAGGUAAUGUUAUUCCUCAAUUGACUUAAUUAAUUGUUUGUUUAGAAUUACAAUUAGGCGUAUGCAUGAGUGGUGGAGGCGUUGGGUUGUUGAUGUAGUAUUACAAGUUAAUAGUAAUAUUAUUAUAUUGUUGGACAGGAAAUCUCCCCCUAUUUAGAAGACACAGUUUAGAGGGACGAACACAACAACACAAAUUUGUACCAAAAGCAAGUUUAAUUGUACACCUUUCUUUUCAUAAAAUGUAUGUAUUGUAAUAUUUUAACACGUGUAGCUUUCUUUCUCUGCAUAAUACAUCUAUACUAUAUUUACCCAUCUAGACCCUAUUAUUGAAGAAGAACCGACCAUUUAUUUCUCUCAAAGCCGGUGAAAGAGGAUUAGAAAUUUCUUCCUAUUCAGAUUUGUUAAUGCUUUUUUAGUCCAAACAUAUUUCAAUCUAGAUGAACACUGGCAAGCCCUUGAAGUUGCUUAUCGAAUCUCACUUGGAUAUGGACAUUUGACGUGGGAAUGGGAAAAGGGUAUAAGGAGUUAUUUUCAUCCAGUGAUAUUUACUGGAUUGUAUAAAGUUCUUGCCCUUUUUCAUCUUGACAAACCUUGUUUCAUGGUAAGAAUUGGAUAUCCUGGUUGCCUGCCUAAUGUAUCAAAUAAUGGUAGAGAAGCAGCUUCAAAGGCAAGGUAAGAUUAUACAUUUAAUGGCAAGAUAAGUAAUGGCUUGAUGUGGUCACAUGUUUGACGAGUUUUCUCAGUGAAGGUAUGACUUGUGUAUUAUGAAGAGAGAUUAGUUACAAGAGUUGAUUAUGUUGGUGGAAUGAAGUUGAACGGUGAGCUUAGAUGAAUAGACAUUUUCCUCUAUAAUAUCUUUUUUUCAUAUGGUAUUUUUCCCCAAUAAAAUGAGUAAUUUUUAUAUGUUAAAGGUUUCUACUUUGGAGUGAUUUUAUUUUCCUGUGAUGUCACAACUUUAAGGCAUUAUUGAGAAAGAAUUUGAGCUGCCGAAUUUUUUGAUGCUGCCAUGAAAUAAGAAGUUAUAUCGUAAUGCUAAAAUUUCAGGGUAAGCUUUCACUAUUGAUCUUUUUGUUGGUUGAAGUUGAACUACAUUUUUGAAAAAAUUCAGCUACUAAUAUAGUUAGCUGAGGUGGUAUUCAAAAAAAUUGUUUUAAAUUACAUAGUCAGAAAUAACAAACAGGUUGAAUCAGGCAAAAAUGUUGAUUUCAGGCUCUCCAAUCUCCAAGUUCUCUAAGGUACCAUUCCCAUUUUCUUAAGAAGCUUUGAACUUUUUGGCCGUUUUCUUUUGACAAUUGAAUUUUUUCGCUAUUCUGUGUUAUUUAUUGAUAAUGUCCCUUGAUGUUGGUGUUGCAUUUAUUUUUUAGUAGUUCUUGGAUAAAAGCUGAAACAUUAAUAUUGAAAAUUCUAUUACUACAUUGAGUUCUAGAAGUCUGUCAUAUGAUCUUAUACUUUCUCAAAGUUUCUGCCUCAUGUGUUCAUAUUAGUUAAGAUACAAUUGAUGAUGUUAGAAAUUUUUUUCAUCUGAUCAAUCAAAAAAAAUGAAAAUAGGAAAUCUAGCAAAUAAGUAACAAUGUUGAUGCUAGAAAAAAAAUUGAGAAAUGAGAGUAAUAAAAUGUCCACUUAAUGGAAGAAUCCUAUAAGACUAACACUUUUCUUUAAUCUCGAGUUUGUUGCUCAAGAGUAGCUACUAUUCAAGUUUCUUCUGAUAACUCUAGACGAGUUAAUAAAAUAAAGAAAUAAUAAUGACGAUUUCAAGUACUAAAUUGAUAGUUCAAUUUGAAAAUAUUGAUUGAAAUCCACAAAACAAAUCCGCUAUGAAAUUCAUAUCAUUAAAUACAAUUACAGAUUGUCGACCUACUAAUAACUAUUUAUGUUCGACAAAUGUUCGAUAGAACUUUGAGUGCAUCACUGAUGAAAAUAAGUAGAAUGUUUAUAGUACUUAUAUGUAGGUAUCUGCUUAUGGGAAGAGGAAAAUCACGACUCACAAAAAUGCAAGUGAUAUGAUUAAGCUCAGUAGAAUUGUUGUCGCAAAAGUAAUACAAAUUUUUGUUGUAUUUGAACUCACUUUGUUGAACAAGACACAAGUCCUACUUGAUAUUUUCAAAUAUACAUAUGUCCCUUUUCAGUAGAUAAGACAUGUUCCAUUUGCUACUUACCAGAGACACAACUAUGACCACCUCCGUUCAUCAUCUCUGUCAUUUACCUAGAAGAUUAGAAGCAACUUUCAAAAUCUUCAGGUGUGAUAAUAUUGCUCUUCUCUACUUUCAAUUUCCAAUUUUUUCCUAGAACUUUUCUCAUAUGCCUGCAAAUAUGCUAUCUUGAUCAUUUGUUUUGAUUCUAAAAGCAUUUUUCAUUGCUUUAUGAUCUUCACAUGGAUAUACCAGUGAUUGAUAAUUAUGUAUGAAAGAACUGAAUAAUAUUAUCUUCCUUCUUAGUUUUUCCCUUUUUUAAUCUUUUUCCUUCGACUUUUUGAGUUGCUCCUCUCCUUUGGUUCAUAUUAUGCCACUUUGUAUCUACAAACUAUUUUCAUCCAGGUAAUUGCUUAAUUUGUAUUUAUUGUAAAGGAAUUUGUGGUCUUAAUUCAAUGUCGGCGGGGUGAAAUGUUUGAUUGGAAAUUCAUUGAGGAGUUACUAAGCUUGUUCUUGAAGAUGCAUGCGUUUCUCGACUUGUGCAUGGUAUAACCUUAAAUUCUCACCUCCUCUGUAAUUAUCUCAUUUAUAAGCUUAAAUUUUUCAGUGUGAACUUAAGUUUACUUAUUAAUGUACUCAAUGUGACUUCACGCGUAAAGGGGCUAAGCAUGUGAAUAUUCCUUUUUGACAAUGGGCUCAUCCCCGCCAUUGAUCUAUAAAUUUUCAUAUUCCGCAAUUUUGGUUGUCAAAAUUUUAUUUGUUUAUAUUUUAUUGAAGUGUAUUGUGUAGUUCAUCUCAUCUACUAAGUGAUUAUUAGAGAAAGAAUAACAAACAUUUAUCUUACUUAAUUAUUUUAUUGUGUUAACAAUUAUGAAUUACAUUGCCCUUUUGCACCAAAGGAUCACAUUAAUCAUUAACUAGGGAAUUAAUUUCUUUAUUUCCUACAUCUACCUUAUGUUUAAGUACAAAGUUGGGCAAAGUAUAAUAUUAGUUUCUCUGCAUCUUCAUCUGAUGUUGGUUGUUGUUCAUAAGCUCUAGCAUUUCUAUAAUGGAUGCAUUUGAUCAACAACGUAAUGAAUUGAACACAUCCUUAAAUCUUCAGUUCCCAAAAUUUUAAUUUCAGAUUCUCUUCUGAAAAUCAAUAUUUUGUCUCUAAUGGUGGGACAAUAUAUGCAUUACAGCCAUCCUCUCGAGUACAAAUAAUGCGAGUGAAAUUAGUGUAUUUUUUUUCAACUUAUAAAAAUUGUUCUUUGUGAAGUCAUUUAAUAAAGAUAGAUUUGUUGAGUACAAAUAAGAUGAGAAUGGUGAAUGAUUUGUAAAAAUCAAAUAUAUGUAUAUAAAAAAAAUCCAAGAAAGGAUAUUUGUUACCAGUGUAGCGGGGAAUCAAAAUUAUGGAUAUUUGAUGCUUUUUUCGUUACUGUUUUCUCAAAGCUGAUUUUGCAUUUUCUUCUUCAUGGUUGCUAUUCGACAUUUAUUUUUAUCCAAUUCUACCAUUGCGGGAGAGUUGAUUCAGGUUCCUAACAUGCUUUUUUCUACAUCUCUUUUCUUUUAAUAUUAACAGAGCUACACAUUACUCUCGCCAAGUUUAUUUUUCCAAAAGAAAUAGAAACAUUAAGUCCUUAGCACACAAUUUUUAUAUGAUACUUUUAUUUUUCUGCUUAUCGUGAUUUGAAAAUUUCCUUAGUCGGAGAAGGUUACUGAUUUUUGUUUCAAUAUGAAUAAGGAUUGAAACCAGUUCUCUUUGUUGAAGUUUUUCCUAGGUGAGACAAAUGCAUUUUUUUAAUUCUAUAGCCGUCUACUUUAAUUUUUGUAGCCUUCUUAAUUUCAAGUUUCUUCAGUUGAUUAUCUUUCACUUUUUUACUAGCUUCUUGAAGGUAUCUCAUUAUAGCUUCUUACUAUGUGGUUUGUGGAAUAGCCAAGGUUGGUUAUAGAAUACUUAGCAGUGCCUAGCAGUGCAGUAUAGCUCAACUUAUUGAAAUGAUAAAUCAAGACACAUUUGAAGAUACAUAUAUUCGAUGUCUCAUAGUAUUUUUGAUAAUGUACUUGUAUUUUUACUUGUAGAAGAUACCUAUCUUAUUAAACACAAUGAUAUACAGAACAAAUAUUUUCAUA